AGAGUUUGAUCCUGGCUCAGGAUGAAUGCUGGCGGCGUGCCUAACACAUGCAAGUCGAGCGGCAGCGAGUUUUACACUGAAUUCUGGAAGCUUCUGGUUUAAAGAGAAGAUUUAUUCAAGAAUUUUGUGUAAAAUGUCGGCGAGCGGCGGACGGCUGAGUAACGCGUGGGAACGUACCCCAAAGUGAGGGAUAACGCAUCGAAAGGUGUGCUAAUACCGCAUAUGGUCUUCGGAUUAAAGCCUUCGGGCGCUUUGGGAACGGCCUGCGUAAGAUUAGAUAGUUGGUGGGGUAAUGGCCUACCAAGUCGACGAUCUUUAACUGGUUUGAGAGGAUGAUCAGUCAGACUGGAACUGAGACACGGUCCAGACUCCUACGGGAGGCAGCAGUGAGGAAUCUUCCACAAUGGGCGAAAGCCUGAUGGAGCAACGCCGCGUGCAGGAUGAAGGCCUUCGGGUUGUAAACUGCUUUUAUAAGUGAGGAUUAUGACAGUAACUUAUGAAUAAGGAUCGGCUAACUACGUGCCAGCAGCCGCGGUCAUACGUAGGAUCCGAGCGUUAUCCGGAGUGACUGGGCGUAAAGAGUUGCGUAGGUGGUUCGAUAAGCGAAUAGUGAAAUCUGGUGGCUCAACCAUUCAGACUAUUAUUCGAACUGUUGAACUCGAGAGCAGAAGAGGUAGCUGGAAUUUCUAGUGUAGGAGUGAAAUCCGUAGAUAUUAGAAGGAACACCGAUGGCGUAGGCAGGCUACUGGGCUGUUUCUGACACUGAGGCACGAAAGCGUGGGGAGCGAACCGGAUUAGAUACCCGGGUAGUCCACGCCGUAAACGAUGGAUACUAGCUGUUGGAGGUAUCGACCCCUUCAGUAGCGAAGCUAACGCGUUAAGUAUCCCGCCUGUGGAGUACGGCCGCAAGGCUAAAACAUAAAGGAAUUGACGGGGACCCGCACAAGCGGUGGAUUAUGUUCUUUAAUUCGAUGAUAACCGAAGAACCUUACCAGGGCUUGACAUCCAGGGAAGGUCUGCGAAAGUAGACUGUGCCUUUUGGAACCCUGUGACAGGUGAUGCAUGGCCGUCGUCAGCUCGUGUCGUGAGAUGUUAGGUUAAGUCCUGCAACGAGCGCAACCCUUGUGAAUAGUUGUAUUUUUCUAUUCAGACUGCCCCGGUAACGGGGAGGAAGGAGGGGAUGAUGUCAGGUCAGUAUUUCCCUUACGUCCUGGGCUAGAAACGUAAUACAAUGGCUAGUACAAUGCGCAGCGAAGCCGCGAGGUGAAGCAAAUCGCAUCA
rnacentral:rRNA from 1 species